rnacentral:rRNA from 1 species
YAUUAAACGCUGGCGGCAGCCUUAACACAUGCAAGUCGAGCGGAUGAUGGNAGCUUGCUCCCGGAUUCAGCGGCGGACGGGUGAGUAAUGCCUAGGAAUCUGCCUGGUAGUGGGGGACAACGUUUCGAAAGGAACGCUAAUACCGCAUACGUCCUACGGGAGAAAGCAGGGGACCUUCGGGCCUUGCGCUAUCAGAUGAGCCUAGGUCGGAUUAGCUAGUUGGUGGGGUAAAGGCCUACCAAGGCGACGAUCCGUAACUGGUCUGAGAGGAUGAUCAGUCACACUGGAACUGAGACACGGUCCAGACUCCUACGGGAGGCAGCAGUGGGGAAUAUUGGACAAUGGGCGAAAGCCUGAUCCAGCCAUGCCGCGUGUGUGAAGAAGGUCUUCGGAUUGUAAAGCACUUUAAGUUGGGAGGAAGGGCAGUAAGUUAAUACCUUGCUGUUUUGACGUUACCAACAGAAUAAGCACCGGCUAACUUCGUGCCAGCAGCCGCGGGUAAUCAGGUCAAGCGUAACGGAAUUACUGGGCGUAAAGCGCGCGUAGGUGGUUUGGUAAGAUGGAUGUGAAAUCCCCGGGCUCAACCUGGGAACUGCAUCCAUAACUGCCUGACUAGAGUACGGUAGAGGGUGGUGGAAUUUCCUGUGUAGCGGUGAAAUGCGUAGAUAUAGGAAGGAACACCAGUGGCGAAGGCGACCACCUGGACUGAUACUGACACUGAGGUGCGAAAGC